ACGAUUAAGUCACGACGAUUUCAAUUCCAACUAAAUGCAGACAAACUUCUCUUGGGAUGAAGAUAAAAAAAAUAGCUGAGGCUCUAUACACAUCGGACAAAGGAUCCAAGCCCAUUAAGACGGGAAUUACAAACUCUGGCACCAGACACAUUCUGAAUACUUUACAUACUAUACUUAAGUGUUACAGUGUCUGAUAACGUGGCGGAAUUUUUACAAACGAGCAAAGGUAUUCGCCGAUAAGAAGUUUCAAUUGCGAAAACCAUCCACAAGGAAGUUUCAUUAGCAUCUCGAAUUUCUGUUUGGAAAAGUGGAGCCCCAGGUAUCUGAAUACCAAGGUAUCUAUAGGUGUAUGCAGGCAGUGAGCUGAUAGAUUGGUACAUGUCCACCUGGAAUCGAGAAAGUGUCAAGAAAUUGACGCUUUAUCCGACCUUUGACAGAAGUUCAGCCACUUCGUUCCAUUUCUCAUGGUUGAAUUUUCUUGGGGAAUAAACCGAAUGGCCGGAAAUCGUCGACAGUCAACCAUUCCAAAUUGGCAUUAUUCCCGGGACUGAUAAUAUCUCCUAUCUAUUUCAAAUGCUACAGGCUCAUUCUAGGCAAGGAGAUAAACUCGGCAUUGUCUCACUAAUGUAGCAGCUCUAUGUGCUAUACGUUACCUAGAAAUAUAGCUACGGUACUUGGUUUCAUCCUGUACCCUGGUUCCUUCGGUUGGUUAGGGAGUGAAGAAGGGCUUCGACAGGGAAACGCUAAGACAGUCGGUUUGAAUUUUUGACUUUUCUACCGCUAAACGCCAUUGGGGUGUCUGACUGUCUACUUCCCGGCUGAACUUAUUGCUAGAAGGAGUUUAGUUCACUAUUCAGGACACCGUAGCACUGGGUUAUUCGGAUCUGCCGCUGACUUCAGGGGGAAGACGGAAGCUCAAGAGCCUCAGCGAACAACUGAUACUUGGAGACGCUAAUGCAUCAAAGGCAACGCGUAUAUUUGAAACAGAAGCAAAAUACCUUUCUACCUCUGACAAGUGAAACCGUUUCUACAUUGUUACUCGCACCAGAUAACCGAUGCCGUCCACUGGCAGUAACCCGAGAAGACCGAGCGAAAGGUUCUCCGCUUUCCAACAGUCUCAAAUGAGCGGUUAUAGCUAAUUAGGGUGAUUAUCUCGAGUGCAUUAUUUUAAUUAUGUAGAUGACCCGUAAUCUCGUUAGAGCCAAGCGUGGAUGGAAUAAUUAUAGGAUAGGCAAGUUCGAGUAGAGAUCUCGGUCUGAGUGUGCGAAUUAUUAUUCUGCAUAUAGAAAGCAUUGUUAACGGCAAGCCAAGACAAAUUCCACGUACUAGCCUAACCGUUGUCAAGCUGUUAUAAAAUGUAUCCGUAAAAGAGAAAACAAAAAUUUCUUAUCAAAGAAAUCCAAGGAAGGAACGAAAUUCCCUCGGCAGUAUCCGGCGCCUCUCCUAUAGGAAGGUAGCAAUAAAGAAAAGCGAAUAUUUCCGGAUUUCCGUAUUCACCCGCGUUAUCCCGAUAUACAGUAUAACACAUGGCACAUACUUGUUUCCCUAUUGUCCUGAAAUCGUAUACAAAGAGUAUCAGAUACCUAACUUAUCCAGUCUGUAUUGUAUGUAUAUCGUAUAUAUAUGCUACAGUUACAUAAUACACAUAUGUUAUAAUACUUUAUACUCAGUAGCCAAUAUCGCAUUUCAGUAGUACGUCUCUUGCUAUCAUACCGUAAUUCUCCUGCACGCGUCACAGGAGACGAAUAAGAUUUACGGAAAUAACGUGGGUUAUUUACCAGAGCGUAAAGUCCUGCCGUUAAAGCGCGAGGAAAUUUCGAGAGGACGAAACUAAAGUAGUAGUGAAAAUCCGACACGGUCAGACAACUAGAAGAGUGACGUCCGCAUAUGUCAGGCGCAUUUGUCGCUGACCAUUAGGAACCGUGAUGCAUCCUCCCCCUUACGUAGAUAUACGAUAUAUUAAUACCCACGAGGCACGUAUCCAUAGGUAUAAUCCCAUAUGAGAAGCGUUGAUCAAAACUUAGCGUUAUUUCCGGCACCGAGCACAUCUAAUUUCGCACUCGAACGAAAUCGCGUUCCUCGUGCAGAUUUCAAUGCGGCAACGUUACAGCGAGGAGGCAGCAGGGGCAACGCACCCCUAGAAUAAUCUACAUGUAUACGCAAACAGUAGAAUGUAUAGAUAUACGUAGCGCAGAGUCACAUGCAAUUCCUGUACAUAAGGGGCAAGAGGUACGGGGGUUGAUACUCAACGAACGAUAUCCCGAGGC